rnacentral:other from 1 species
UCCGCUCUGCAGUAUUCGUGAGCCACGACAUAUGAAUCCCGAGUAAGCAUGAACCCGGGGGCAAGCACCUAGGCCGUGGUGAGCAGGCCCAGACUCUUUCACUGGGAAGCCUAAAGCGGCCCGCCAGCCCCCACCUAGCAAACUUGCUAGGGGUUCACGUCGAUCCGCCACGGUGCCCGCGGUCCCGGA